AUGGAGGAGGACAUCUGGACAGUGAGGAGGAGGAGGCACCUCAGCCCAUGCAGGACAUCCCAGAGGACCGGGAGAGCCGGGAGGUCAGGUGAGCCUGACUUUCCCUGCCCCUACUUUGUCACCUUCCUCGGCGGUCCCUCCCAGAUCCCCUUAUGUUCUUGGUUUCCCUGCCUUCUGAUUUCUGUGGACUUUCACUCCUUCCGGGAGCCAGUGGUCAAACACCAUUUCACCUGUGACCAACAGGUGCACACUCUGAGCCCCAAGGGAAGGGGCUGCGCUCCACCUCCCUGCCCCGGUUGUUCUGUGUGUGUCCCUACAAGAAUACUCACCUCUUGCCUUCAGGUGGCAUUUUUCAACUUCGCUGGAGCCAAUGCCCAGGAAGAGCAAAUGGUAUGCUGGCAGCCCCUGGUUCACCCAGUGGCUUCAUCCCAGAGGACCCCAGGGACUGGGGAGCGACUUUAUGGAGGACAAAGUGGACCUGAAGGAACCAGUGGAGUAACUGGAGCUUCGAUUCAUCCACCUCUUGGGACAGACAUCAUAAGAAACUACAUCAGCCAGGGGGCAGUGCCAAAAUGCGUCACUGGGAGAGGAGGACAUCAUCAGGCUGGCCCAGGACCAAGAGAUGCAAAUCUUCGUGGCUGAGCCUCACUGACAGCGUGGAGCCUGCACCAGGAGAAGCCAGAGAAGGUUCUCCCCAUGACAACCCCACUGCACAGCAGGUCGUGCAGCUGCUUCCUCUGACGCAGGACUCUCCAGGAGCACCGAGGCUUGCGCAGCAACCCCUGCAUGCUAUUCUUUUCGGGCUGCCAAGAACAGGGAGAUAAACCAUCACUAUCAUCUAAGAGCUGGUCAAGAAAAAAAAAAUAAAAAAACUUAAGGGGUUAAUCUCCUACACAAUUCAUUUACUUCAUUUGAAUGUUAGAGCCACUCACAUUUAUUUGUGUUUUUCUAAUUUAUAGUUUAAAUUUAUUUGUAAAAAGUUAAAGGAGAGUGGGUCUUUCCCUCAUGUUCACUGUGACAUCCUUUAGCACCUUUUUUUUAUUUGAUAACUGUAGGUCAUUAGCAUGCAUAUCGAGUUCGCCCUUAGGUGGUGGGAUUUCAAACACGCAAAGACCCACUAUUUGCACAAAACUGUUCUUGCAGGUUUGGAAUAGGCUGCCAUGUUUUUUUAAUGUUAUUGCAGCAUGUAUAUUCAUUACGGAAUUCAGAUAAAAUUUGCCUAUGUUCUGCUAGUAUGCUUGAUCCACUCCUAAUCACAGUGAGCUCUUCAUUAUCUCAAUAUGUGGUUUGCCCUCAAGUACGCUGUUUAUUAGUUUGUAAUGUGCCACUGUGAGUAGUGACAUUUACAGUUGUUUAAAGCUGGAGCACUGGAGAGAGCCUUUCCCCCUUUUUCUGUGCAUUGGGAAUGGGAGGAGUAACACUUUGGGGAGCUUUUUUUUUUUUUUUUUGAGAUUGAGUCUCACUCUGUUGCCCAGGCUGGAGUGCAGUGGCGCGAUCUCAGCUCACUGCAAGCUCCACCUCCUGGGUUCACACUAUUCUCCUGCCUCAGCCUCCCGAGUAGCUGGGACUACAGGCACCCACCACCACACCUGGCUAAUUUUUCUGUCUUUUUUUAGUAGAGAUGGGGUUUCACCGUGUUAGCCAGGAUGGUCUCCAUCUCCUGACCUCGUGAUCCGCCCGCCUCGGCCUCCCAAAGUGCUGGGAUUACAGGCGUGAGCCACCACGCCCAGCCUGGGGAGCUUUUUAAAUCUCCCAAAAGAGGAAAGUGGCCUGCUCUGGCAGGUGUGUACAGGAUAGAAUAUGUUUCACUUGUUCUGGUACCAACAAUGAGUGUGGUACUAUGGUAGUUCCCUUAGGAUUUGUAUGUGCUCUGGGCUCAUGAAGAUAUUACAUCAUGAGCUGGGGCAGUUGUACUCUUUUCUGAUGACCUAAAAAGGGGUUAUUUCUGAGGAAGAAAGACUUAAAGUCCUGUUCUUGCUUUUUUUUUCUGAACUUGCCGCUUUUGCAUUCCUUGAGUUCAGUUUAAAGGCAGUUACUUUAAGUCCAUUUUAAACUCUCGGGCUAGAAAUCGUACCACUGUUAAUUAGCCACAUUAUUUGGUCUAACAUUUUUUCUUUACAAUUCUGAAACUGGGUUUAUCUAACACAUUGAUAAAUUAUUUCAAAGGUAUUUUUGUAGUUCAAAUCACUUCACUUUUACCCUGACACAUAUAAAUGACUAGGAAUGACCUUCAGAUCACGUUUAGCAUCUGUAACCAAUCUGACAAUAAUGUGUUCAUCAGGUACCUAUGGAUUAAAUCACAUACUGGCAUAUUUAAGCUGAAUGUCAGUCUGGAAAUAAAUUUACCAUAUUAACUGAAAUACCACUGUUUGUGUAGGUAUUUUUGUCAUAUAUUUAAGAAAAAGCUAAAAAGGAUGGAAAUCAUAUUACAAUAACUUAAGUCUUUCUUCAAAGUGUGUGCAGUCUUUUGCAAUACCUCAUUCGGCCAAGUAUUUGUUCUCUUUCUCAUUCAGUAUAAGGCAGCUUUCAAUUUGCUUAGCAGGCAACAUUAGAAGGUUAGAGUUCAGCAGAAACAUAGAAUUUUAAAAUGUGAGUUCAACCGAAUAAAUUUGAAUUUUUGUAGGAGGUAAAGAAUCAAAAUACUUGUAUAUUUAAAGAUUGCAGUAUAUGAUAAUCAUUUUGAAGUAUUUGAUUAAAACUAAUAGGUUUUCCAGAAAUUAAAAAAAACAAUUUUAAAACCAAAGCAGAUUUCUAGAAAAUAUGAAAAUGUAAAUCAGCCCUAUCCGGAAUAUAGUUUCUGUAAAACUUAGUCAUUUUACAAUAGUAUAACUAUUAAAAAAUGUAACUGCUAUUUUAAUGUUUUGAAAUAAAACAUUUUAAAAUAUGAAUACUGUAGCUUAAAAGAAAGAAAUUGGAGAAGGAAAAGUAGAGAAAGAAAUGCCAAUUCCAGUCCAAAACUUUAUUUGCCAGGUUUUCUUAUGAUGACUUUUACCAAUUUAUGAAUUAUUAUAAACAGAAUCUAUAUGGAAAUACUGAAAGACUUUUGCCUAAAGUGGCUUAUUGAAUACUGCUAUGAUGCUACUGUAAUGUCAUAAAUUAUUGUUACAAAGUACUGUUUUUGCCUUAAGUUUUUAUUUUGUGUGUCUUGAAAACUAUAGUAUUAAAGGUAUUAAGAUUGUGCAAAUGCUGGGCACACUUGGCAUUAAAUAAUGUUUUUAUUUUUACAAAAUUAUAGUAUGACCAUGCAAGUAUUUAAUUAAUUAAUUAAUUUUGAGAUGGAAUCUCACUCUGUUGCCCAGGCCAGAGUACAGUGGUGCGAUCUUGGCUCACUGCAACCUCCGCCUCCCAAGUAGCUGGGACUACAGAUUCAUGCCACCAUGCCCAGCUAAUUUUUGUAUUUUUAGUAGAGAUGGGGUUUCACUAUGUUGGCCAGGCUGGUCUCAAACUCCUGACCUCGUGAUCUGCCCACCUCAGCCUCCCAAAGUGCUGGGAUUACAGGCAUAAGCCACCGUGCCUGGCUUCAAGUGUUUAUCAAAAGAACACAAACUGAAAAAAUAGUUACGGGAUUUUAAAAAGUUAGGAGAUUUUAAAAAGUUAUGGGAUUUAAAAAGUUAUGAGAUUAAAAAGUUGUGGAUAAAGUUACAUUAUGGGAUAAAAAAGUUAUGGGAUAAAAAAUGUUAUGGUCAGUGGCUCACGCCUUGUAAUCUCAGCACUUUGGGAGGCCAAGGUGGGUGGAUCACCUGAGGUAGGGAGUUUGAGACCAGUCUGACCAACAUGGAGAAACCCCAUCUCUACUAAAAAUACAAAAUUAGCCGGACGUGGUGGCGAAUGCCUGUAAUCCCAGCUACUCAGGAGGCUGAGGCAGGAGAAUCGCUUGAACCCGGGAGGUGGAGGUUGUGGUGAGCUGAGAUUGUGCCAUUGCACUCCAGCCUGGGCAACAAGAGUGAAACUCCAUCUCAAAAGAAAAAUUAAAAAGUUAUGGAAAAAAGUUGUGGAAAAAAUUCCAAAAAAAGGUUUAUGAAAAAAUUUAUGUGAUAAAAAUUAAAUAAAUAAAUAAAAGCAGGCCACUGUCAGCAAAGCCUGGAGAAGUGUCGAAUUGGGGAGACAGGUGCAGAUGAGUUGAAGAUCACCGUCAUCCAAAAGCAGGGAACUAGGCCCGGGGCUAUAGCUCGCACCUGUAAUCCCAGCACUUUGGGAGGCUGAGGUGGGCAAAUCACCUGAGGUCAGGAGUUGGAGACCAGCCUGGCCAAUAUGGUGAAACUGUCUCUACUAAAAAUUUAAAAAAUUAGCCAGGCGUGGUGGUGGGUGCCUGUAAUCCCAACUACUCAGGAGACUGAGGCAGGAAAAUCACUUGAACCCAGAAGGCGGAGGUUGCAGAGAGCCCAGAUGACACCACUGCACUCCAGUCCGGGUGACAAAGACUCCACCUCAAAAAAAAAAAAAAAAAAAAAACAAAACAAAAAAAAAAAACCUUAAUUAAAAAAAGAAAGCAGGACCCUGUCAGCAAAGCUUGGAGAAGUGGGGCCGGAGGCUCCAUCCCCACCAUGUCCCUAUCACCCCUUCCCAGUCACUCCUUUACCAUUUGAGUAGCAAGACAAGACCCCUGUCUAAUGGGGAGAAACAAACAGACCCUUUGCCACCUUGGCCAGGGCUGAGUCCUUAAAUUUCUGGUGAUGAUGAUUGUGAUUUAAGAGGCAGAGGCUGAUGGAGUUGGUUUGUUUAGAGGAGGCCUGAUGGCCUCCUUACUCUCACCAAAGCAAUUUUUCCCUCAGCGAAGCUCGUGUCUUCUUACUCGGAGAGGCAGAUGAGGCAGGACAGUGGGACUAACUGUAGACCAGGCGAGGGCACGGACUGCUGGGGGUGGCCCCCCUUCCCCCAUGUACAUAUUGUUUCUGUGUAACGUUUUGUAUAUUCCGGGGGGUAGGGCUGCCCCUGUAUUGUUCCUAGUGGAGAUUGGAGCUGGCACGGGGGAAUGGGGGAUGGAAGCGGGGGAAGGUUCUAAUAAUUAUUCGCAGCUGGGGAACUUAUUUGAUAGCAUAGGACAGAGGAAGGAGACGGGGUUGGGUUCGUGGCUUCCUGGCGAUGCGACUCCUGUUUAUUUUGCUUUUUAUUUGGGAAUAAAUGGAUUUAACCAUACUGCUAGCCCGGCAUGUUUCUGUUUCCCUCACUGGGUCCUGGAGUUUGCGCCACUGAACGAGGAGCCCCAGAGUGUCUGAGCAUGUCCAACUGGGCUGUUGGGGACCUCCCAGGCCUGUUACCUGUAUGCUGCCUGAUGACGCCUGGGGGAUUCCACGGCACCUAUGGGGCACAGUCCGGCCCUGACGGCCAACAGGCUCAGAAGCCUCAUCUAGCGGUGGCUGGGAAGGCAGGAUGCCAGCACCCAAGGGCACUGACUUCCAUGCACAUGAGGCGGCUUCCUUUCGGCCACCCUGCCUCCCUCGCCUGUCUGCACCUAGUGGCUUAUUCUCUGUCCCUCCGGAGUGCCGACGCCGCUCACCCUCCCUCCAGGC
rnacentral:lncRNA from 1 species